UACGAAGGGGGCUAGCGUUGUUCGGAAUCACUGGGCGUAAAGCGCACGUAGGCGGAUCUUUAAGUUAGAGGUGAAAGCCCGGAGCUCAACUCCGGAACUGCCUUUAAAACUGCAUCGCUUGAAUCCAGGAGAGGUGAGUGGAAUUCCGAGUGUAGAGGUGAAAUUCGUAGAUAUUCGGAAGAACACCAGUGGCGAAGGCGGCUCACUGGACUGGUAUUGACGCUGAGGUGCGAAAGCGUGGGGAGCAAACAGG
rnacentral:rRNA from 1 species